rnacentral:rRNA from 1 species
UACAGAGGUCUCAAGCGUUGUUCGGAUUCACUGGGCGUAAAGGGUGCGUAGGAGGUGGCGCAAGUCGAAUGUGAAAUCCCGCAGCUCAACUGCGGAACUGCAUUCGAUACUGCGUCACUCGAGGGCCGGAAAGGUCACUGGAAUUCUCGGUGUAGCAGUGAAAUGCGUAGAUAUCGAGAGGAACACCAAUGGCGAAGGCAAGUGACUGGAAGGUUCCUGACUCUGAGGCACGAAAGCUAGGGGAGCAAACAGG